rnacentral:tmRNA from 1 species
GUGGUUGCAAAACACGCCCGUUCGCCUAUCUUGGCGGAGUCGGCUUAGCGGCCGACUAUGGUGAUAAAUUGUGUCGUGAAAUAGAUGUUCGGACCCGGGGGCGGUACCCGGCGGCUCCACCAAUCUCCCCCGGUUGUCGCGGGACGUGCGGGGCCGAAACAGGAUCGACGUGCAUUCAAAGACGACGUAUUUGCCCGGCCUGAAUGAGCCGUUAAACCGUUCUAACUCCUAAAUGCCAACGACAACGAGGCAUUCGCAAUCGCAGCGUAACCCGGUCCUAACGGACUAAGUUACACUGGCCGAAAGCGCGGUACGGGCCACACCGGGCAACAGAAGUGGAAACCGGCGGUUUGGGGAGCACCGAGCAACAGAAGCUCCCCACU